CUGCAGCCAAUGAGGUCUCCAGGUUCCUUUCCUCAUGGGGGCCUGGUAUGCCAUGGCUACAAGCAGAGACCUCCUUGGUACUGUUGGUACCCUAUUGCCUGAGUUGCCCCUAAGGGAACUUGGAGACUUCA